CCGCGGUAAUACAGAGGGUGCAAGCGUUGUUCGGAAUUAUUGGGCGUAAAGAGCGCGUAGGCGGUUUGCUAAGUCUGGUGUGAAAUCCCGGGGCUCAACCUCGGAAUUGCCCUUGAUACUGGCGAUCUUGAGUAUGAGAGAGGUAUGUGGAACUCCGAGUGUAGAGGUGAAAUUCGUAGAUAUUCGGAAGAACACCAGUGGCGAAGGCGACAUACUGGCUCAUUACUGACGCUGAGGCGCGAAAGCGUGGGGAGCAAACAGG
rnacentral:rRNA from 1 species